rnacentral:rRNA from 1 species
AUUGAACGCUGGCGGCAUGCCUUACACAUGCAAGUCGAACGGUAACAGGUCUUCGGAUGCUGACGAGUGGCGAACGGGUGAGUAAUACAUCGGAACGUGCCUAGUAGUGGGGGAUAACUACUCGAAAGAGUGGCUAAUACCGCAUGAGAUCUACGGAUGAAAGCAGGGGAUCGCAAGACCUUGUGCUACUAGAGCGGCCGAUGGCAGAUUAGGUAGUUGGUGGGAUAAAAGCUUACCAAGCCGACGAUCUGUAGCUGGUCUGAGAGGACGAUCAGCCACACUGGGACUGAGACACGGCCCAGACUCCUACGGGAGGCAGCAGUGGGGAAUUUUGGACAAUGGACGCAAGCCUGAUCCAGCAAUGCCGCGUGCAGGAUGAAGGCUUUCGGGUUGUAAACUGCUUUUGUACGGAACGAAAAGCCCUGGGUUAAUACCCUGGGGUCAUGACGGUACCGUAAGAAUAAGCACCGGCUAACUACGUGCCAGCAGCCGCGGUAA